UUCUGAAGGGGUGCCUAAGAAGCGAGGGAAAUUCCCGAACUUUGGCUGAGAUUAUACCCGUGAACCUGAUCCGGAUAAUGCCGGCGGAGGGAGAGAGAGUUAUA
rnacentral:ncRNA from 1 species